CUCUCAAAAAUAAAGAAACGUUUUUAAAAAUGUAGAAUUGGCCAUCGAAAUAAAUCAAAGAGGACUCGUACUUUUUGGUUCAUUCACGAGCCCAGGAGAGGCCGCUGAGCCUGCAGGGCUCUGAGCAUCGCUCAGGAAUCCGUGCUCUGUGCCAACGCCGCGCCUCCUGAAAACGGGGUUGUAGGCUAAUGGCCCGGCUCGUUGGAACUGCCCUUCCUGAAGUGCCUUCCCAGCAUUCAUUUGGAAACACACGGGCCAUCGUGUGCACGAGCAGAGGGGGCUCCCUCGCAGCGGUCCCGCUCCGGCCCCGGACCAGCGUGUCCUUUCAGCAGAGCGAGGACACGAGCGUGCCUGGGCCCGCCUUUCUCGUGCCAGGGCACUGGCCUUUGAGCCCCACCCUCUGGGGACCCCUCCCUCAGCCCAGGCCUCUGCUUUCUCUCAGAAUUCCUGCCGGUAAGCGGCAGAGCCAGCUUUGAGCUGCGAAGCUCUGAAAAGCCGCUGGCUGGUGCAGAGACUGGCGGGCAGAGCCGGGGACCCAGGCUCAGACAGCUCGGAAGACGGCCACGUCCCCCGGCCGUGGCCGCCCUUCCGAGCGCCGGUGCGGAGAAGCCCCAUCUGGCCGCGACCCCCGCAGCUACGGAAGGGGCUCUCCAUUCCUCUCCGCCACCCCCGGCCCUGUCAGGGCAUGUGCUGCCCGCCCCCUCGCGUGAGGGAAGGAAGGAGGCCUUCCGUGGGUCUGCGCGCUCGCCUGUACCCUUGGCGGGGCUCCCGCCUCUUGCCGAAAGAAGCAGGAAGGCGAUUCAGAUUUUGGGGGCAACGAACGAAGACUUUUUAGAUUCCCACGAAAAGAUUCAGUUCAUCCAAACAGCACUUGCUCUGUGGGUAGCCCCGCGUUUCCAUCGACUUGUUGGCCUCCUCGGAGGCUGCCCUGCCCGGGUGACAUUUGUCUGCUCCUUGAUCUGUCUGGCCCAGGGAAGCCCCUUCUAGAAGGGGUGGAGUUGGAAGGUAUUUCCAGCACCACGUCAGGCAGUGGGAAGCAGGAGAAGUAAAGGAAGCAGACGCCCCCGCCCCCCACCCCGGCCCCGUUCGCACGCGGAGGCUGGCGGUGCUCACAGCCCGUCCGUCUGCAGAGGUCACCUACGGGGAACAGCUCGCGGACAUUCGGGAAAGGACGCUGACCCACAAAGGCGGUAAAGAGCAGGGCGCUACACCCCAAACGCGGCAACGCAGGAGAGCCUGCCAGGGACACUGGCUGAUGAGACGUUUGCGACCAAAUAGUCACAGGUGCGAGCGCGCUGUCAUUGCGAUCGCUUAACCAACGUGCGCUCGGAAUAGUCCAGAGCUGUGGUCAAGGGAAACGUGGCAAGGAAGUGACACUGGGCUUGUUUGCGGGGAAGCCCAGAGCUUGUCCUGGGGUCUGCCCAGCGCCCUGGACUGCAUCCCCGCCCCCGGGGCCCCGGCUUUCUCUGCGGGGCAUCCUGACUGGCCUGGGGGCAAACCAGGGAUUGUGUUCGCGGUAUGAUUCACCUGCUUCUCCCCCCGCAGCUCACGGUGGGCACUGUCAGUUUCGUGUGUGUCCGGGGCACGUGGCUGGGUGGCAUGUCUUGACCUCGGGCCUGGCCCCAGGUGGCUGCCUUCCUAUUCAGAGAUGUGCUGGGCAGGGUGUGGGGGGGAGUCCCCCUGAGACGCCAGGUACUGGGGGAAGCUCUCUGACGAAGCUUGCCUCUGGCACAAGUCACUUCAACAAACAGGACGGUUUCUGCACGUGGGGAGUCGUCCCUGACCCGGGAGACCCACAGAGUCGGUGAGAGUGACGGGGAGGGCUCACCUCGAGGCUCGCGGGGCAGGGAGGUGGGAGGGGCGGAAGGCGUGCUAAUCGGGGUGAGGCGGCCUGUGCUCCGAGGGCGCGUGUGGCUGAGACCAUUCCAUUCCCGGGGCAUGUGAACCCCACCCCAGCUGCUCGGGACCCCGGUGGUCCAAGGCGGAUCUGUGUGGCCUGGGCAGCCACGGGGUGGGGGUGACAGAGAGGGAGAGCGCUUCUGGGGAGGGGGCUCCCCUACAUAGCACAGACCUUCGUGUUUAGGUCUCCCAAAUUCCGGGCACAGCACUUGACCAGCUCCUCUUUCCCGGCUCACGGGGCAUGAUCCGGGGGUGAGUGAGUGACCCCCAGGAGGCGGGAAGUCAUUCCCUGCAGGCAGCUGGAGGGGGGACUCCAGUGCAGACCCCGCCCUGGGGUGUGAGUUCCCCACCAGCUCGUGACCUCGGGAGGCCUCAGUGCCCUCCUGGGUCGCUGUAGGACUCAGAUGGGGAGAUGCCCACGCCGCCCUGGCACAGCGUGUCCACCGUAAGCACCCGGAGCCAGUCAGACGCACGUCCUGCACAGAAGACACCGGUAAACGCUCAGCCUCGUCACAACCCACGGACUUCGCAGCAGAGCGGAGUGCGAAAUGUUAAUUCUGCCCUGAGAAAAGCAUCUGCGUUUCACAAGGGCCCACCUCACACCCCGUCUCCCACCCACCAUGCUCGCCCGCGCCACGCAGCCGGCCUUUGCCCUCGGAGGUCGGUGUCACUGGGUUUUCUGUCUUUGGGACUCUGCUCCGGGAACAGUCUGGUGGUGGGACCCCUGCAGCCAGGGUCCCAGACACGAUGGAGCAGCGUUCAGCCACCCGCCAGCGGACGGGGCAGACGACCUCCAGGGGCAGGAGGCAGAGAGCAUCCUGCCCAGGGCUGAGGGCUUAGCACUCACUCAGGGCUCCUUUAUGUCAGCUGUGGGCGUUGAGUAGACGUGUCUCCCGAUUAUUGAGGGCGCGUGGACGCGGGAGACCUCCCCCAAGGCUGCUGCUCAGAGACCCCGUGGCUGGAGCCAGGCCCGCCCAGCCUCCACCGCCCGCUCCCUAAUGGGAUCAGGAUUAAAUUGGGCGACUUCUAAGA